AAUAGAUACCCAGGUAGUCCUAGCCGUAAACGAUACUCGCUAGGUGUCGGCCACGGUGCGACCGUUGUCGGUGCCGUAGGGAAGCCGUGAAGCGAGCCACCUGGGAAGUACGGCCGCAAGGCUGAAACUUAAAGGAAUUGGCGGGGGAGCACCACAACGGGUGGAGCUUGCGGUUUAAUUGGAUUCAACGCCGGAAAUCUUACCGGGACCGACAGCAAUAUGAAGGCCAGGCUGAAGACUUUGCCGGAUUAGCUGAGAGGUGGUGCAUGGCCGUCGUCAGUUCGUACUGUGAAGCAUCCUGUUAAGUCAGGCAACGAGCGAGACCCACGCCCACAGUUGCCAGCGUACUCUCCGGAGUGACGGGUACACUGUGGGGACCGCCGCUGCUAAAGCGGAGGAAGGAAUGGGCAACGGUAGGUCAGUAUGCCCCGAAUAUCCCGGGCUACACGCGAGCUACAAUGGUUGGUACAAUGGGUAUCUACCCCGAAAGGGGAUGGAAAUCUCCUAAAGCCAAUCUUAGUUCGGAUUGAGGGCUGCAACUCGCCCUCA
rnacentral:rRNA from 1 species